UGGGGAAUAUUGCAGCAGGCAGCACUGUCCAGCAAUGCCGCGUGAGUGAUGAAGGCCUUAGGGUUGUAAAGCUCUUUCGCACGCGACGAUGAUGACGGUAGCGUGAGAAGAAGCCCCGGCUAACUUCGUGCCAGCAGCCGCGGUAAUACGAAGGGGGCUAGCGUUGUUCGGAAUUACUGGGCGUAAAGGGCGCGUAGGCGGCCUGUUUAGUCAGAAGUGAAAGCCCCGGGCUCAACCUGGGAAUAGCUUUUGAUACUGGCAGGCUUGAGUUCCGGAGAGGAUGGUGGAAUUCCCAGUGUAGAGGUGAAAUUCGUAGAUAUUGGGAAGAACACCGGUGGCGAAGGCGGCCAUCUGGACGGACACUGACGCUGAGGCGCGAAAGCGUGGGGAGCAAACAGAUUAGAUACCCUGGUAGUCCACGCCGUAAACGAUGAAUGCUAGACGUCGGGGUGCAUGCACUUCGGUGUCGCCGCUAACGCAUUAAGCAUUCCGCCUGGGGAGUACGGCCGCAAGGUU
rnacentral:rRNA from 1 species